rnacentral:misc_RNA from 1 species
GGGGAUAAUAGUAGUGGGUUCAAAUGGUCAACCUUUGUAUAGAGAGAAAGAGAGAGAAAAUUUUCCUUCAUAAUUUCCAUGCCCCCGAGAUUCGUUUCUUUACUCAAUUCAUUCCUUUAAUUAACAAUUAUAGCUACUCACCCACCCACCCAAAAUAAAAAGUCCAACUCGUUCUCUUCCCCUUCUUAAAGAUCCUUUGCUCCCUCAUAUCUCUCAAACCAACUCUUCAUUCAUUUUCCUCUCUUCUUCUUCUUCUUUUCCUUCUUCAGCUCAUGGGUUGUCAUGAUGAUGGAUGCAACACUGGCCUUGUUCUAGGGUU